rnacentral:lncRNA from 1 species
CACCCAGCAACCCGUGACGCGCAGCGGGCGAGGUCGGCCACUGGCCACCGGGCACAGCGGCCUGGAGAGGGACCCCUGUCCCGAGGCCGGACGUGCAGGCACCUCCCCCGCGCCCCCGCCCCGAGGCCACUCGCCCGGCCGCCCCUUCCUCCGGCUCCUCGCCAUCCCCGCCCAGGUCCCGCAGUCCGGGGUCGGCGGUCCCGCCGCGUGGCAGCCGCGCGGCACCUGGAGAGUCGGCUGGCGACCGAUUUCCUCCUGGACACAGAACCCUCUGCUUCCUGGGUGAGCCUCAGCAUGGGGUAAGCCUUGAAGGGGCGUGCCCUAGCACUCAAGCACCCAGACAACCUGCACCCUAGACCAGGAUCUGUUAUUGCACACCUGUUAUGGACGGACAUGGUACCCGUGCUCA